CAGCCGCCGCGGGAACACGGAGGGUGCAAGCGUUAAUCGGAAUUACUGGGCGUAAAGCGUGCGUAGGUGGUGGUUUAAGUCCGUUGUGAAAGCCCUGGGCUCAACCUGGGAAUUGCAGUGGAUACUGGGUCACUAGAGAGUGGUAGAGGAUAGUGGAAUUUCCGGUGUAGCAGUGAAAUGCGUAGAGAUCGGAAGGAACAUCUGUGGCGAAGGCGACUAUCUGGGCCAACACUGACACUGAGGCACGAAAGCGUGGGGAGCAAACAGGAUUAGAGACCCCGGUAGUCCCUGUCUCUUAUAC
rnacentral:rRNA from 1 species